CGGGGCCCGGAUCGGCCGACUCCUCCGGCUCGGUCCCGGAGUCGGGGCGUGGGCGUCUGCGCAGCGGGUUCGGGCUGCUCGGGCCUCGGC
rnacentral:tRNA from 1 species